rnacentral:lncRNA from 1 species
AACAGAACUUAGCCUGGAGCGUGUGUAACGUAAGUCAGCAGGUCUGAACCUUAGACUGUCUGGACCACCUCCUCAUCGCAGAGGUGGCGAUGCUGGGCCUGCCCUGCUCACACGGCUGAAGAGUAUCACUGGGAAGGAAGUGGGCUCGUGAGAUAAUCCAAUCCAGUGCUUCCCAGCCUUUAAUGAGAAAUGGUAAACCAGUGUGAGGAAGAGCACGGAUUCUGGAGUCAGACGGCCGUCCAGUGAUGGAAUUCUGGCUCUGCCACUAUCAGCUGUGAGUUGAGCAAGCGCCCUGAAAACUCUGUGACGUGGAAAUUACAACACGUGAGCACAGAGAACAGCACAGAGUGCAUUCCACAAAUGGUGGCUCUUGGCUGACCCAGACCCAGUGAGAGGCAGCUCUGCCCUGGCCCCAGGCUUUACAGGGCCCCAAUCCAGCCCCUACCCACUGGGGUGAGGACGUCACCUGGAGCUCAUGUGUCUUUCUGUAGACCACAUUCCAGGUAACUGGGACCCCAAAUUUCCUGCCCAAGUUGCUCUGUUCUCACUUUCAGGUCCUGCAUGAAGGGAUUCCUUAGGAUCUGUCUUCCUGGGGAGCACCACACUGCAGGUGACACCACCCGUGGGCCUGAGGGGUGAAGACAGGCAGCUGUUGUGAGUCACGCACAGAGCUUGGGCAUGUGGUCUAAGCAGGCCGAGCCUAUGCAUGAGAGCCCACUCAGGAGCUGGGGUGAGAAGAGGAGGGGGCAGGCCAGAGGCCAGGAGCGUCCUGCACUGCUACAUACUGUGCUGUUAACCUCACGGUGCCCAGAAAUUUUACAUUUGAACCUUGUCUUCAGGUCAUGAUGAAGGUAUAUUUGCAAAGGCAGGAGGAUAUGGACAUAUUUAUCAGUUUGGGACCUCGAGCUGCUGCAUGAAAAUUACAUGUUAGUGGUGGGAAAAAGAAAACAACAACACAAAAGUGGCUUUUCUUGACUAGCUGUCAGUAGUGGGAGGGGUGCUGCGGAGUCGGAAACCAUUUCUCCUGUGGCUGGCAGUUGCCACUUAUACGGAUCUACUUAUUUGGAGGAGAAAAGAGCUGACACAAAAGGCUCUCUCUGAAAUUCUGUGCGUAGAACAAAGCGGCACACGACGAGAUGUAGAAUUCCAUUAGAGGACGGCCCCAGCACUCGCUGUCCUUCACAACGACCACCCCACAGGCGCAUGAAUAGAAGCCUCAGCCACCCACAGCCUCAGUGCCCGGCAGCGUGUCUCCAGGAAGGAAAGGCCCGGGCACAAUGCAUUUCUCUCAGGUUUGGCUCAGCUUCCCCGGGGAUUUGCACCAUCACAGAGAAACCUAUCUCUCCUCCAGGGACCCACAGUUGGGGAGGCCACUCCAUGCUGUCACCCCUUCCUGUCCCUCUGAAACGUUUCUUCCUUCCACUCAUUUCUCCUAGAUGAAAUUUUAACUAGUA